rnacentral:rRNA from 1 species
ACGCUCGACACCUACGGGAUGCAGCAGUGAGGAAUAUUGGUCAAUGGGCGCUAGCCUGAACCAGCCAAGUAGCGUGAAGGAUGAAGGCUCUAUGGGUCGUAAACUUCUUUUAUAUAAGAAUAAAGUGCAGUAUGUAUACUGUUUUGUAUGUAUUAUAUGAAUAAGGAUCGGCUAACUCCGUGCCAGCAGCCGCGGUAAUCUGAGCGGGCUGGCAAGGC